UAAAGAAGCUAGGACGUUACAGCAAUAGCGCUCGUCUCACCCCUCCUACUCCACUAAUUCUAGUUCGUUUUUCGCUUCGACUUACACACAAAACUUGCUCAUAAUUUCAUGGGCAUUUCAUUCAGCCGUAGAUCACCCACGAGGAAGCACCCCGAUGUCUCCGAUAAUAUACGUUCGUCGACCUGCACAUCGCUGAUUUCACGAAGAGUGACGGGAUAGUUUAUCAAGGAAAUAAUAUGAGUUGCUAAGUUCACAAGAUAACUACUCUUCACCAAAGAAAGGCAAGUUACACAUGAUCUUUUGUCCUACUAUUUUUGAUAUGCAUGGUUUUACAAAUAUUUUCGUAGAAAUGCAUGUGUAGGAAAUUAUGCUUUGCUAUCCUAGUAGAGAGCCAUAGGAUAUCUUACCAUGUUCAUUGUAGCCCUUUUAUUAAAGUGCGUAUAUUGUAUGAGUGCUUAGCCAAUUGCUUGGUAGACGUGGGAUAUGGGUUUUCAAAGAAAAAAAUCAUUUAUGAAAAUUGACAUGCGCCCAUUCUAGGGUGGUAUGGUGAAAAUAUUUUUUUUUAAAAUAAAACUUAUCAAAAUGUUUUCCUCUGGGCGGAGUGGUAUGUUGGGAGCGUCUACAAGAGCUGCAUCCAGUGAGUGGCUCUGCAGACUCAGGUUUUGGUGGGGACCGCCGCCCAGGGUCAAAGAGAUCUUUAAAGUUUCAGUUGAAGAAGCUUCCAGUACAACCACAUGCUAUAUGGACUCUGGCUUAGUCGUACAUAGAGGGAAACCCUUGCAUCGGUACCGCCAUUGGAGAGGGGUCUUCGGAUCAUAGUUGCGGGCGGACUGGGAUUAUGUAUAGGGGGCUUCUAUGGAAAACUUCGUCAUGAUCCAUGCCCGGUUAAGCCAAAUGAAGGAUACAACAAAAAGGAUGGAUUGUGACAUGUGAGGAAAGUGUACAACCUCUGCAGAGUGUAUGAUCUAAUCGAUUAGCCGUGCUCCCGGAUAUGAGCAAUUUGAGCAACUGAAGAUUGAAGCGGAUGAAGGAUCUCCUAUGUUUUCAAAACCUUUUCAAAAAUUGUUUUGGUAUCAUAAGUUUAUCCAGUGAGUGGCUAUGAACUUAGGAUUGCCCGAACUGUUUUGCAAUUACUACUUUCAUACAGUGAGUGGCUCUGAAUGUAGUGUUGCCUAAAAAUGUAAUGCAUGCUAACUCUAUCCUGAGUGGCUCUGGAGUUAGUUUAGCUUGUUUUGGGGAUGUGAUGUAGGAUGGUGAACCUUGGUGGAUUCCUUGUGUUUGUCCAGCCCUAUAUUAUUUUGUUUUAAAAUAUAUAAAGACAAAGAAAGUUUUUAAAAAGAUUUUCACAAAACAAAAUUGGCUUUACGCAAAAUAAACCAUGAGCCUUCCUUUGACAUACCUUUGCAUGUAUAAAAAUAUAAACCACUUUGCAACUUGUGUAACUUGCCAAUACAUUCAAAGUAUUGACCAAAUGUUUUUGGCUGUAACUUUACCUGUUGCACAUGACGAGUAAGGACGAUAGGAUCGCAAGGCCUACACUCAACAAGCCAUGUGGCGUUGAUGGAGCCCAAGUUUGAUGUUAUGCUUAUGUUUCCGCUGUUAUGUGAGCCAGCCACUAUGUUGUGCAAGGAUGUAAUAAAUAUACUCUGGAUAUUUCGGUUGUAAUAAAAUGACGUAUGUUAUCUUGAUAUUCAUUUGUUA